rnacentral:rRNA from 1 species
AUUGAACGCUGGCGGCAGGCCUAACACAUGCAAGUCGAACGAGUGGCGGACGGGUGAGUAAUGUCUGGGAAACUGCCUGUUGGAGGGGGAUAACUACUGGAAACGGUAGCUAAUACCGCAUACCAUCGGAUGUGCCCAGAUGGGAUUAGCUAGUAGGUGGGGUAAAGGCUAACCUAGGCGACGAUCCCUAGCUGGUCUGAGAGGCGGACGGGCCAAACUGGAACUGAGCCACGGUCCAGACUCCUACGGAAGGAAGAAUUGGGGAAGAUUGGACAAUGGGCGCAAGCCGGAUGCAGCAAUGCGGCGUGUAUGUAGAAGGCCUUCGGGUUGUAAAGUACUUUCAGCGGGGAGGCGUUACCCGCAGAAGAAGCACCGGCUAACUCCGUGCCAGCAGCCGCGGUAAUAC